CCGACGCGGUACCUGGCGCGGCUCCGGUGUGUCCUGGCAGCGCCCGCCCACCUGCGGCGGCCCCGGAGGCCCAGGUCACUGUGGAUUCCCGAUGUCCCGGUACUUGUGCAGGACCACUUGGUGUGCCUCACCCGAUGGGACACCCAGCGUCACUUCUCAGAGGCUAUUCAUCACCACCACCCCCACCUCUGUUGUUGCCUAUGCGGUCUCACCCUCUGCCACCCCCACCACCACCGGUUACAGCACUCGUUAAGAUGAGAGCAUGUGCUUCUGCUCCCUUUUCGAGUCUUUGCAGAAGGGGAGAUGGCACUCCAGGGCCUUGCGAUGCCUGAGGAAAUCUGACUUGGGACAUUGUGACGUCUGUCUAGCUUCGCAGCACACACAUCUGAUGGACUGUGUCAUUUCCCCAUCCUGACCUGGGAAGCAGAUGUCUCUUGUAUAGAACAGAAUAGACUUUUGACAGAAUAUCAAAUGAAUUUGAAGUCCCAGUUUGGCAGAUGUUCCUCUUGCAUGGACCAUGUGAUGUGCUCUGUGAGGGGUGAAGCACACCCCUAACUUCAGGGGCUCAUGAGGUUGCCUUGAGGGGUAAGGGAUCGAGUGAGGGAGAGAGACAUUCACAGCAGACAGCUUGUCACCAUAGCAGAUGUGCCCGUGCAGGGCCUCAGAGUGCAGAAGAGGGACACGUGAGCCACACAGGAGUGAAUAAGAUGGUGUGGAGGGGAAGAAAGAAAUUGAAGGGCUGCCCAGUGGGCGUUUGUUGGGUUCACUCAGAUGGAGCUGGAAGGUCACUCCUGGCAGUGCGGGCAGCUCAGGUGGGCCGUGUGAAUGCGGCGUGAGGUCCACUCAGAGCCACUUGUGUGUGCAGGGGACUCAGUGCAGCCAUGCACGUAUCCCCUUCAGAACCCAGUGCCUUCAGAAAGCCCUCAGUUCACAACCUCAUAUAAAGAUGAUUGUUCUCUUGGGUUUCUGAAAGUUCUGGGUCUGGAUGAAAUCUCUGGAUAUCAGAGAAACUGAAAUUUAGCUUGUUUUUUUCAGGGUAAUUUGUGUGGCUGAAGUUUUCUUUUGCCCCAGUGAUUUGAAAAGUGCAGGCAGGAUUUAGAUCAGCUGAGCAGGUGCCUUGCCCUUCAGCAUGAGGCAGGUUCUUUGGGGGAAGUCAGGGGUGAUCAGGAGACACCAUGUAGGACCCCUGUCCCUACACCCCUGCUCCCUCCUGUCACCAUGCCCACUGUCAGCUUGGCAUCUCCACAUUUAUGUCACAAGAUCCAAUUUCUGAUUCUUUGAGUUCUUGCAGUUCAUCCCCUAACACCAAGACUCAGUGUGGCCCCCACAGGGUCUCAGUGUUGUUCUCUGUGAGCCGGGGGGUAACGCUGGUCCCUGACAUCAUUGUGAGGAGGGUUGGGUCAAGCACACACAUUGUUUUGCAAAAUGACUGGGACAUAUUUCUCACUCAGCAUUCUCAUAGUUUAAAAGAAAGUGUCUGCACACAGAAUUAUCAAAAGAGACCUUAGGAAGUACAUUAAAUUAAACUGAAGAUAUAAGAGCUCAGGCCCAGAGCUUACCAUUCUCUGCUUUAAACAUAAGGCAAAAGGUCCCUUUCUUCUAUUAAAUAUUAGGUCUUACUAGUUAAAGAAGGAAAUAUAAUAAUGAGAAUGUGCACAUUUUGAGAUCUGUGUCUGAGAUGUGAAAAUAAUUAUUUUCAUUCUGUAUAGACACGGAGAUGCACACACAGACUACAGUGUCUGUCAGAGGCCAUACAUACAUUAGAGAAGACAAAAUCAGGAAAAAAUAAGAUCCUAUUAAAAUAAAUAACUCCUUUUGCCUUACAGCACAGUCCAUUUGCCAACUGAAGGGGCCCCUCAGCUGUGGCAAUUAUGUGUUUAGAGAAGAUGUCAGAGGUGCAUUACAGCCCGAAUGUUUCCCUGCUCCAACCUGCCCCCUCUGCUGUUCUCUCCUAUUGUCACCCCUAAUGAAAUUGUCACAGUUC